CUGAUGGUAACUCACAUGUCUAUUCUAGCGGUGAAAAAUUUACAAGGGGGUGCUAUUAUCUGUUGAUUUCUUUGAAAAUAAUCAACAUUAUACUAAUUGAAGCAUUUGCCAAUGUUGGUUGUUUAGAGCCGUGCUGAAAUUGACAACUGAAAACUAUCCCUCCCUCCCUUCUAGAAAAUAAAAUAAAACAAAAUAAGAAGCUAAAGAAAAGCCGCAAUUUUAAUUUAGAGAAGAGAUUAAUAUGAUCCUAAAAUCACUAAAACAGUAUUGGGUGCAAUACAAGAACAAGAAGACCGCCAAAUAGAAAGAAUGGUUUGGAGAACCCGUGAGAAGCUUGAGAUUUCCUGAUCAAAGAGCUAUUCUUGCUGGUUUCACAGACAACAACUCCAAUUUCAAUCUUGACAUUAUAUGCUUCAGUUGGACUCAAACAUAGGCCUGGAUUACCACUUAGGUCCAAAUUCCUUCCUAGCCUCUUCAAGAAACUUGCAUCGAAAGGCACAACUCCUCCCAACAAGUUUCUGCUAAGAUUCAAGUGAUAAAUGUGAGAAAGACUGGCAAAACCUGCUGGAAUUUCACCUAUCAAUCUGUUGUUCUGAAGAGACAAUGUGCUUAGAUUCAUCAACAGAGAAAAGCUGGGUGGAAUAGUGCCUGAAUACCCCGAAUUGGCAAGCCUUAGCUCUUGUAGUUUCACUAGCUUACCGAACCCUACUGGCAAAGGAAUACUUAUUGGAUUGUCAUCCAUGAUAAAAUACUGCAAGCUUUGUAACUUUGACAAUCCGGCUGGAAAAUUUCCACUGAAUCUGUUGUUACUCAAAGCCAUGAAAGCCAAUGAACUGAGCUUCUCUAUGGUAUCAGGAAUACGACCAUUAAGCGAAUUUGAACUCAAAUCAAGUUUCUGAAGCAAACCCAGUUGGCCGAUAGUGCCUGGAAUUGUGCCAGUAAGCGAAUUAUAGCUUAGAUCAAGGCCCACUAGGUUUCUAAGAUUACCCAAUCCAAUUGGUAUAGCACCUGUGAGAAUAUUAUAGCUCAAAUCAAGGUGUAUCAAGGAGCUCAACCUAAAAAUCCCAACCGGAAUAGGCCCAGAAAGGCGAUUUUGUGACAAUGUGAGGAUUUGUAAGGACUUUAGGAAGGAAAUUUGAGGUGGGAUUGGACCAACAAGCGCUGGGUUUGAUCUAAGACUAAGUUGCUGAAGCGAAGAAUUUGACAGUCUAUUUGGAGGAACAGAGAGAAGGGUUUUGGUGUGAGUGAAACAAUUCAAGAAGAAAACAGAUUGAAGAAAAGGAAGAGCAAAGAUUUGGUUAGGAAAUGUAGCAGUGCUCUUGCAUGUUGGAUUUGGACGAGUACCAAAAUCAAGCCUCGAGACAUGGAAGUGGUUAUCUGGUCCUAAUCGGCACUCAAUUCCAGGCCAAAGUGAGUCAGACUUACAAGGGUUGGGGUAAGAAGUUCUCCAGGAUUGAUCAGAGGACAAGGAGUCCAUGAUCCUGAAAAGGGUCUCAGCCUCCGAGUGAAGCAUGUCGUUGGUUGACAGGAGACUCUUAUUAGGGGCUGGUGCUGGCGGUUGUUUCCUUGCAUGGGUGAUGGAGACAGAAGGAAGAGGAGAGAGAAAGAAGGGAAGCAGAAGAAGAAACAUAGUGGGAACUGAAGGUGAAAGGGUAAAGCAACUGCAAAACAUUGUGGAGAGGUAUGGAAGAGGUGUAGUGGUCAGGUGCAGCAGUUGCUUGGGUGGUUUUAGAAGUGAGCAGUUUAAUUUGAUGCGUGAGAGAGACCAACCAUGAGAGAGAGAGAGAGAGA
rnacentral:misc_RNA from 1 species